UUUUACCUUCCUGCUUAUAUCCCCACUUUGGCUUAGUUUAAUGUCCAGCAGUACCCCUGGAACCAGGGAGGAGGCAGGAAGCCUACCCUCUGAAGAGGUCCAAGCAACGGAAGUACUACUACGAAGCUGCCUUUCUGGCCAUCCUUGAGAAAAACAGACAGAUGGCCAAGGAGAGGGGCCUAAUAAGCCCCAGUGAUUUUGCCCAGCUGCAAAAAUACAUGGAAUACUCCACCAAAAAGGUCAGUGAUGUCCUAAAGCUCUUCGAGGAUGGCGAGAUGGCUAAAUAUGUCCAAGGAGAUGCCAUUGGGUACGAGGGAUUCCAGCAAUUCCUGAAAAUCUAUCUGGAAGUGGAUAAUGUUCCCAGACACCUAAGCCUGGCACUGUUUCAAUCCUUUGAGACUGGUCACUGCUUAAAUGAGACAAAUGUGACAAAAGAUGUGGUGUGUCUCAAUGAUGUUUCCUGCUACUUUUCCCUUCUGGAGGGUGGUCGGCCAGAAGACAAGUUAGAAUUCACCUUCAAGCUGUACGACACGGACAGAAAUGGGAUCCUGGACAGCUCAGUGAGUUGGGGACCCUGUAUGCUGGGCAAGGG
rnacentral:sRNA from 1 species